rnacentral:rRNA from 1 species
GAAUUCGCCCUUAGAGUUUGAUCCUGGCUCAGGACGAACGCUGGCGGCGUGCCUAAUACAUGCAAGUCGAGCGAGCUUGCCUAGAUGAUUUUAGUGCUUGCACUAAAUGAAACUAGAUACAAGCGAGCGGCGGACGGGUGAGUAACACGUGGGUAACCUGCCCAAGAGACUGGGAUAACACCUGGAAACAGAUGCUAAUACCGGAUAACAACACUAGACGCAUGUCUAGAGUUUGAAAGAUGGUUCUGCUAUCACUCUUGGAUGGACCUGCGGUGCAUUAGCUAGUUGGUAAGGUAACGGCUUACCAAGGCAAUGAUGCAUAGCCGAGUUGAGAGACCGACCGGCCACAUUGGGACUGAGAUACGGCCCAGACUCCUACGGGAGGCAGCAGUGGGGAAUUUUGCGCAAUGGGGAAAACCCUGACGCAGCAACGCCGCGUGCGGGAUGACGGCCUUCGGGUUGUAAACCGCUUUCAGUAGGGAAGAACAUCGACGGUACCUACAGAAGAAGCCCCGGCUAACUACGUGCCAGCAGCCGCGGUAAUACGUAGGGGGCAAGCGUUAUCCGGAUUCAUUGGGCGUAAAGCGCGCGUAGGCGGUUGCCUAAGCGGGACCUCUAAUCUUAGGGCUCAACCUUAAGCCGGGUCCCGAACUGGGCGACUUGAGUGCGGUAGAGGAAAGUGGAAUUCCCGGUGUAGCGGUGGAAUGCGCAGAUAUCGGGAAGAACACCGAUGGCGAAGGCAGCUUUCUGGGCCGCCACUGACGCUGAGGCGCGAAAGCUAGGGGAGCAAACAGGAUUAGAUACCCUGGUAGUCCUAGCCGUAAACGAUGGGCGCUAGGUGUGGGAGAAUAUUUCUUCCGUGCCGAAGCUAACGCAUUAAGCGCCCCGCCUGGGGAGUACGGCCGCAAGGCUAAAACUCAAAGGAAUUGACGGGGGCCCGCACAAGCAGCGGAGCAUGUGGCUUAAUUCGAUGCAACGCGAAGAACCUUACCAGGGCUUGACAUCCUACUAACGAAGUAGAGAUACAUUAGGUACCCUUCGGGGGAAGUAGAGACAGGUGGUGCAUGGUUGUCGUCAGCUCGUGUCGUGAGAUGUUGGGUUAAGUCCCGCAACGAGCGCAACCCUUAUUGUUAGUUGCUACGCAAGAGCACUCGAGCGAGACUGCCGUUGACAAAACGGAGGAAGGCGGGGACGACGUCAAAUCAUCAUGCCCCUUAUGUCCUGGGCUACACACGUAAUACAAUGGCGGUUAACAAAGGGAUGCAAAGCCGCGAGGCAGAGCGAACCCCAAAAAGCCGUCCCAGUUCGGAUCGCAGGCUGCAACCCGCCUGCGUGAAGUCGGAAUCGCUUGUAAUCGCGGAUCAGCAUGCCGCGGU